UAUCGUACAAUUUCGUACACAAUUUGAUUGGACAACUUUUUAAUUGUGGGUAAUCGGAAGGUAAUCGCGGUUCUGAUACGAUUGGUGUCCAAUUAUUUA